CUUGCUCCGAGGAACCAGUGUAUGAACAUGUCUCUCUAUAGGCACUGAGCUAUUUUUUCCCUUUAGGCUGCCUUAGAGGUUGAUGAAAAUAUAGGAACACCAAGAACAUCUGUAGAAAUUACAGCUUUAAUGAAACAGACAAAACAAGCCAGCAAAGGUUUGAAAAGUUACCAGUGUGAUUUGGAAUCACUGGAGCACUGCCGUUCUGGGAUAAAAAGCGAAGCUGUAAAGAACUUGUGGGUGGUCGGAUGGAUUAUUACUACAAGGGUCGCCUAGGCGUGGAAUCAUGGCCUUGGAGGAGGAUGGGACCCGCAGCCCUGGUGUUUCCAGCAUUAGAGAUAAUGCCAUCAAGUGCCUGGCACCAACCCCGGCCCAUGAUUCAAAUGCGCGAGGUCCCUCUCCACGGUGCGUUGAUUAGAUUCUUCCAAGAGGAUUCAAACAGCAUGGAGCACAGAGCCCGGCGGACACAGUAUUUCAGACAGAGGGGGUUUCAGCUGCACCAGAGCCCCCCGAUCUAAUAUAUUGUUUCCUUCCUAUUGCGAGCGGAGAACGGAAAGAUCCUGAGACAUUCAUACAAAUUCAUACUAGGACCUGCAGGGAACUAUGUCGGGGUCCCUUAAUCUGCUAACUAUUAAAGUGGAACAGAAGCAGAGGAGACUGUGGCCUUAGGAGAAGUGACUUGUCCAAAUCAGCAGCUCGGGUGACUCCUAACGAACUGGAGAAAAUGCAGGACCGCCGUGGAGUGGCCUCACGGAGCACCUUACACAGAGCCCGAGCCCCGAGCAAAACAGCUCUUUGCUCUCCAUCCCACCAUGAAGCGCACACUUGAGAUUAUUGAUGCCAAGUGCUUUCCUCCGGGAACUGGAAGUGUCCUCCCGCUGAGCAGCGAACGGUGGCACAUCCAGAGUGCUCUACGCGAGCAGCAUGAGUUUCCUGGGGCUUUGCAGGAGACAUAUGGAUGCGGUGUUGCUUCCUGCACGAGUUGCCAGCCCCCAGUGCCUGGGCCGUUUAGGGUUCGCUUUAGGACGAUGCUCUUGCAGGGUGUGGAGGCAAGUUGGUAAGUUGGACAGGACAUUAUUAUCCUGGAGACUGGUCCAGAUGAGACACCUCCCUUCCACAUCAUCGAUAACAGGCCACAUGUACCCAACUCCCCUUCCUCUCCCAAGCCCAUAAGGGGGCCCUGGAUAUAUGGUGCAAGAUGCUGUUACCCACAGUGAUAGUCCCUGGAAGUGUGCCUUAAGAAUUACAUGUAUAGCCCUGGCUGGUGUGGCUCAGUAGAUUCAAUGUCAGUGCUGGCCUGUGAACCUAAGGGCGGCUGGUUUGAUUCCCAGUCAGGGCACAUGCCUGGGUUGCAGGCCAGGUCCCCAGUAGGGGGCGUGCAAGUGCAACCACACAUUGAUGUUUCUCUCCCUCCCUCUUGCUCUAAAAAUAAAUAAGUAAAAUCUUUUUUUUUAAAAGAAGCCUCAUAAUAAAGAACCUCGCUUGCAUUUUA